CCUACGGGUGGCAGCAGUGGGGAAUAUUGGACAAUGGGCGAAAGCCUGAUCCAGCCAUGCCGCGUGUGUGAAGAAGGCCUUCGGGUUGUAAAGCACUUUCAGUGGGGAAGAAAGCCUUGGGGCUAAUACCCUCGAGGAAGGACAUCACCCACAGAAGAAGCACCGGCUAACUCCGUGCCAGCAGCCGCGGUAAUACGGAGGGUGCGAGCGUUAAUCAGAAUUACUGGGCGUAAAGCGCGCGUAGGCGGUCUGAUAAGCCGGUUGUGAAAGCCCCGGGCUCAACCUGGGAACGGCAUCCGGAACUGUCAGGCUAGAGUGCAGGAGAGGAAGGUAGAAUUCCCGGUGUAGCGGUGAAAUGCGUAGAGAUCGGGAGGAAUACCAGUGGCGAAGGCGGCCUUCUGGACUGACACUGACGCUGAGGUGCGAAAGCGUGGGUAGCAAACAGGAUUAGAUACCCCUGUAGUC
rnacentral:rRNA from 1 species